AUAAAUAUUUAUCUGUACAUCAUUAAAAAUUCUCGAAAAAAAACCACCCCUUUUGGAUAUUUCGAGUAAAACACAGCGCCAAAGAGAAGGUCCUUAAAGGAAGAAAAGUUUUCUACUUUCUGGCGGCUGCCCAGUUAGAUUUUUCCGGCUUUUCUACUUUACAAUCCUGAUUACCACGCUUGCUACAUACAU